GGGCCUGUAGCUCAACGGUUAGAGCCGGCCGCUCAUAACGGUCUGGUUGCCAGUUCGAAUCUGGCCGGGCCCACCA
rnacentral:tRNA from 1 species